rnacentral:rRNA from 2 species
ACAGCUCAAAUUUGAAAUCUGGCCUCACGGUCCGAGUUGUAAUUUGUAGAGGAUGCUUCGAGCAUGGUCUGGCCUAAGUUCCUUGGAACAGGACGUCAUAGAGGGUGAGAAUCCCGUAUGCGGCCAGGUGCCUACGCUCAUGUGAAGCUCCUUCGACGAGUCGAGUUGUUUGGGAAUGCAGCUCAAAAUGGGUGGUAAAUUUCAUCUAAAGCUAAAUAUUGGCCAGAGACCGAUAGCGCACAAGUAGAGUGAUCGAAAGAUGAAAAGCACUUUGGAAAGAGAGUUAAACAGUACGUGAAAUUGUUGAAAGGGAAGCGCUUGCAACCAGACUUGCGCGCGGCCGAUCAUCCGGUGUUCUCACCGGUGCACUCGGCCGUGCUCAGGCCAGCAUCGGUUUUGGCGGCUGGAUAAAGGCCCUAGGAAUGUAGCUCCUCUCGGGGAGUGUUAUAGCCUUAAGGUGCAAUGCAGGCUGCUGGGGAACGGAAGGAACCGCGCUUCGGCUAGGAUGCUGGCUUAAUGGUUGUAAGCGGCCCGUCUUGAAACACGGACCAAGGAGUCUAACAUCUAUGCGAGUGUUUGGGUGUCAAACCCAUACGCGUAAUGAAAGUGAACGGAGGUGAGAACCCUUAAGGGUGCAUCAUCGACCGGUCCUGAAGUUUACGGAAGGAUCUGAGUAAGAGCAUAGCUGUUGGGACCCGAAAGAUGGUGAACUAUGCCUGAAUAGGGUGAAGCCAGAGGAAACUCUGGUGGAGGCUCGCAGCGGUUCUGACGUGCAAAUCGAUCGUCAAAUUUGGGUAUAGGGGCG